rnacentral:rRNA from 1 species
GGCGCGCCUAACACAUGCAAGUCAAACGAGCGAGAGAGAGCUUGCUUUCUCGAGCGAGUGGCGAACGGGUGAGUAACGCGUGAGGAACCUGCCUCAAAGAGGGGGACAACAGUUGGAAACGACUGCUAUACCGCAUAAGCCCACGGCUCGGCAUCGAGCAGAGGGAAAAGGAGCAAUCCGCUUUGAGAUGGCCUCGCGUCCGAUUAGCUAGUUGGUGAGGUAACGGCCCACCAAGGCGACGAUCGGUAGCCGGACUGAGAGGUUGAACGGCCACAUUGGGACUGAGACACGGCCCAGACUCCUACGGGAGGCAGCAGUGGGGAAUAUUGCACAAUGGGGGAAACCCUGAUGCAGCGACGCCGCGUGGAGGAAGAAGGUCUUCGGAUUGUAAACUCCUGUUGUUGGGGAAGAUAAUGACGGUACCCAACAAGGAAGUGACGGCUAACUACGUGCCAGCAGCCGCGGUAAAACGUAGGUCACAAGCGUUGUCCGGAAUUACUGGGUGUAAAGGGAGCGCAGGCGGGAAGACAAGUUGGAAGUGAAAUCUAUGGGCUCAACCCAUAAACUGCUUUCAAAACUGUUUUUCUUGAGUAGUGCAGAGGUAGGCGGAAUUCCCGGUGUAGCGGUGGAAUGCGUAGAUAUCGGGAGGAACACCAGUGGCGAAGGCGGCCUACUGGGCACCAACUGACGCUGAGGCUCGAAAGUGUGGGUAGCAAACAGGAUUAGAUACCCUGGUAGUCCACACCGUAAACGAUGAUUACUAGGUGUUGGAGGAUUGACCCCUUCAGUGCCGCAGUUAACACGAUAAGUAAUCCACCUGGGGAGUACGACCGCAAGGUUGAAACUCAAAGGAAUUGACGGGGGCCCGCACAAGCAGUGGAGUAUGUGGUUUAAUUCGACGCAACGCGAAGAACCUUACCAAGUCUUGACAUCCCUUGACAGGCAUAGAAAUAUGUUUUCUCUUCGGAGCAAGGAGACAGGUGGUGCAUGGUUGUCGUCAGCUCGUGUCGUGAGAUGUUGGGUUAAGUCCCGCAACGAGCGCAACCCUUAUGGUCAGUUACUACGCAAGAGGACUCUGGCCAGACUGCCGUUGACAAAACGGAGGAAGGUGGGGAUGACGUCAAAUCAUCAUGCCCUUUAUGACUUGGGCUACACACGUACUACAAUGGCGUUAAACAAAGAGAAGCAAGACCGCGAGGUGGAGCAAAACUCAGAAACAACGUCCCAGUUCGGACUGCAGGCUGCAACUCGCCUGCACGAAGUCGGAAUUGCUAGUAAUCGUGGAUCAGCAUGCCACGGUGAAUACGUUCCCGGGCCUUGCACA